GACGUAGGGCGCGAGCGUUGUCCGGAUUUAUUGGGCGUAAAGAGCUCGUAGGCGGUCUGUCGCGUCGAAUGUGAAAACCCGGGACUCAACUCCGGGCCUGCAUUCGAUACGGGCAGACUAGAGUUCGGUAGGGGAGACUGGAAUUCCUGGUGUAGCGGUGAAAUGCGUAGAUAUCGGGAGGAAUACCAGUGGCGAAGGCGGCUUCUUGGCCUGUUCUUGACGCUGAGGCGCGAAAGCUGGGGGAGCAAACGGG
rnacentral:rRNA from 1 species